CUCCCGGGAGCGGGAAGUGAGGGUGGCACUAUUAUUAUCCGUGCGGAGAACGGGCGCAGCGGUGUUUGCACAGCGCGGAUGGAAGCGCUGCUGGCCGCCCCCAGGCGCAGGGUGUGCAGUGGCCGGGCAGCAGUGACAAGGUAUAACCUGCCUCAGGUGAAACCCCUGACUCUAAGCCUCCCCCUGACCCCAAAUGAGGCAAAGCAUUUCUGGAUUCGCUUGAAGACUGACACAUGGACAUGUUUCCAUUGAAGUUGCUACAGGUGAUAGGAGUUUUCUUCUGAAGACUGACUGGAGCACAGUGUCCGUGUGUGGCUGCGUGGACGUAUGAGAAUUGGAUGGUCCCACCGAGAUUAAGACAUCAACAAAACCAAGCUUUUUUUUUUUUUUUUCUUUUUU